rnacentral:misc_RNA from 1 species
UUCAAUUCAAUUUGUUGUAUUCUGCUACACUUUCGAUCAUUGUACCCAUACAUUAGCAUCAAGAUUCAACAGAUAGUAGCAUUAUACAAGCACCAAAAUCUAAACACAAGUUAGCAGCAAUUUCAACUCCAAACUAUGAAUUUCAUCAAAUAAAAACAUACCCUUUUUUCAUCGAUCUCUCCUAUUUCUUCUUGCCCUUGCCAGCGGAUUUGCGCCUAGAAGGCAACACAAUUUCACCUUUAAGUACAGGGAUUUCCAUAAUCUGCGAAAGCUCACCGAAUUUCUUGCGGAACUUCUCGACCUGGUCGGCGUCGACAACGACAGCCGAUCGGUUUCCAAGAUAGAAUGGGUGGUUACCGGACCAAACGUCCACUACGUACUCUUUCCGGGUCCCACCAGUGGUCAUCACCAGUUCCCCGUUGCAAUAAACCUUCGCAUCCUCAUAGAAUUGAGGGUGUAUGUCCUUCUUCCUACACGUCACCUGCAGGGCGGAAUUUCCCACUGCACUGACCUUCACCUUUCUGAUGGGUACAAGUGGAGGAGAAAGUGGUUUAAUUUGCAGGACUGAGCUUGUCAGAUUAAGCGCCAUGUAUUUGAUGGAAGGGUGAGCGAGAGAUUAGAGAGGAGUGGCGAUGGGGGAGAAGAUGUGUUUGAA